GACGAACGCUGGCGGCGUGCUUAACACAUGCAAGUCGAACGGAAAGGCCCUGCUUUUGUGGGGUGCUCGAGUGGCGAACGGGUGAGUAACACGUGAGUAACCUGCCCAGGACUUGGUGAUAACUUCAGGAAACUGGGGCUAAUACCGGAUAGGAGCGCCUGCUGCAUGGUGGGGGUUGGAAAGUUUCGGCGGUUGGGGAUGGACUCGCGGCUUAUUAGCUUGUUGGUGGGGUAGUGGCUUACCAAGGGUUUGACGGGUAGCCGGCCUGAGAGGGUGACCGGCCACAUUGGGACUGAGAUACGGCCCAGACUCCUACGGGAGGCAGCAGUGGGGAAUAUUGCACAAUGGGCGGAAGCCUGAUGCAGCAACGCCGCGUGCGGGAUGACGGCCAUCGGGUUGUAAACCGCUUUCGCCUGUGACGAAGCGUGAGUGACGGUAAUGGGUAAAGAAGCACCGGCUAACUACGUG
rnacentral:rRNA from 1 species